GAUGAACGCUGGCGGCGUGCCUAAUACAUGCAAGUCGAGCGAACAGACGAGGCGCUUGCUCCUCUGACGUUAGCGGCGGACGGGUGAGUAACACGUGGAUAACCUACCUAUAAUACUGGGAUAACUUCGGGAAACCGGAUCUAAUACCGGAUAAUAUAUUGAACCGCAUGGUUCAAUAGUGAAAGACGGUUUUGCUGUCACUUAUAGAUGGAUCCGCGCCGCAUUAGCUAGUUGGUAAGGUAACGGCUUUCCACGGCGACGAUGCGUAGCCGACCUGAGAGGGUGAUCGGCCACACUGGAAGGGAGACACGGACCAGACUCCUACGGGAGGCAGCAGUCGGGAAUCUUACGCAAUAGGCGAAAGCCUGACGGAGCAACGCGGCGUGAGUGAUGGAGAUCUUCGGAUCGUAAAACUCUGUUAUUAGGGAAGAACAAAUGUGUAAGGAACUAUGCACGUCUUGACGGUACCUGGUCAGAAAGCCACGGCUAACUACGUG
rnacentral:rRNA from 1 species